rnacentral:rRNA from 1 species
GACGAACGCUGGCGGCGUGCUUAACACAUGCGAGUCGAACGGAAAGGCCCUGCUUUUGUGGGGUGCUCGAGUGGCGAACGGGUGAGUAACACGUGAGUAACCUGCCCUUGACUUUGGGAUAACUUCAGGAAACUGGGGCUAAUACCGGAUAGGAGCUCCUGCUGCAUGGUGGGGGUUGGAAAGUUUCGGCGGUUGGGGAUGGACUCGCGGCUUAUUAGCUUGUUGGUGGGGGAGUGGCUUACCAAGGCUUUGAACGGUAGCCGGCCGGAGAGGGUGACCGGCCACACUGGAACGGAGACACGGUCGAGACUCCUACGGGAGGGAGCAGUGGGGAAUAUUGGACAAGGGGGGGAAGCCUGAUCCAGCCAUAACGCGUGGGUGAAGAAGGCCUUCGGGUUGUAAAGCCGUUUUGUUGGGAAAGAAAAGCAGCAGGUUAAUAACCCGCUGUUAUGACGGUACCUAAAGAAUAAGCACCGGCUAACUUCGUG